rnacentral:rRNA from 1 species
UACGUAGGGUGCAGGCGUUUAAUCGGAAUUACUGGGCGUAAAGCGUGCGCAGGCGGUCUUUUAAGUCAGAUGUGAAAUCCCCGGGCUUAACCUGGGAACUGCGUUUGAAACUGGAAGGCUAGAGUGUGGCAGAGGGGGGGUGGAAUUCCACGUGUAGCAGUGAAAUGCGUAGAUAUGUGGAGGAACACCGAUGGCGAAGGCAGCCCCCUGGGCUAACACUGACGCUCGAUGCACGAAAGCGUGGGGAGCAAACAGG